AUACGAAGGGUGCUAGCGUUGUUCGGAAUUACUGGGCGUAAAGAGCAUGUAGGCGGAUAGAUUAGUCAGAGGUGAAAGCCCCGAGCUCAACUCGGGAACUGCCUUUGAUACUGUUUAUCUAGAGACCGAGAGAGGUGAGUGGAAUUCUCAGUGUAGAGGUGAAAUUCGUAGAUAUUGGGAAGAACACCGGUGGCGAAGGCGGCUCACUGGCUCGGAACUGACGCUGAGAUGCGAAAGCGUGGGGAGCGAACAGGAUUAGAAACCCUAGUAGUCC
rnacentral:rRNA from 1 species